UAAUCUGAUAAAUUUUAUGACUCUUCACAAGGAUUGCCCUAGCCAAGGUCUUACUAAAUUGAAACACAAAGCAUUCUUUCCAAUCUCUUGGAGUGGUCAAUUUUAUUUUCACUCAUGCACCAACUUUACAAGUACUUGACUGUACCCAGAAAUCUUUCGAUCCUUAAUUAAAAAUUCAGGUAGUCCAGCAUCAAAGUAUAGUGAGUUGCUUGCAAGUCACCAUGGUGAUCUC
rnacentral:lncRNA from 1 species